UACAGGAGGGGGCAAGCGUUGUUCGGAAUUACUGGGCGUAAAGGGCGCGUAGGCGGCCUGCUAAGUCGAACGUGAAAUCCCUGGGCUCAACCCAGGAACUGCGUCCGAUACUGGUUGGCUUGAAUCCGGGAGAGGGAUGCGGAAUUCCAGGUGUAGCGGUGAAAUGCGUAGAUAUCUGGAGGAACACCGGUGGCGAAGGCGGCAUCCUGGACCGGCAUUGACGCUGAGGCGCGAAAGCCAGGGGAGCAAACGGG
rnacentral:rRNA from 1 species